rnacentral:rRNA from 1 species
UACGGAGGGUGCAAGCGUUAUCCGGAUUUACUGGGUUUAAAGGGUGCGUAGGCGGGUUGUUAAGUCAGUGGUAAAAGAUUUGAGCUCAACUCAAAAACUGCCAUUGAUACUGACAAUCUUGAAUAUAGUUGAGGUGGGCGGAAUGUGUCAUGUAGCGGUGAAAUGCUUAGAUAUGACACAGAACACCGAUUGCGAAGGCAGCUUGCUAAACUAUUAUUGACGCUGAGGCACGAAAGCGUGGGGAGCGAACAGG